GAGGGUAUAGCUCAAGUGGUAGAGUGCAUGCUUAGCAUGCACAAGGUCCUGGGUUCAAUCUCCAGUACCUCCA
rnacentral:tRNA from 1 species